GUUUGAUUCAUGGGCUCAGGACGAACGCUGGCGGCGUGCCUAAUACAUGCAAGUCGAGCGGACAGAUGGGAGCUUGCUCCCUGAUGUUAGCGGCGGACGGGUGAGUAACACGUGGGUAACCUGCCUGUAAGACUGGGAUAACUCCGGGAAACCGGGGCUAAUACCGGAUGGUUGUCUGAACCGCAUGGUUCAGACAUAAAAGGUGGCUUCGGCUACCACUUACAGAUGGACCCGCGGCGCAUUAGCUAGUUGGUGAGGUAACGGCUCACCAAGGCGACGAUGCGUAGCCGACCUGAGAGGGUGAUCGGCCACACUGGGACUGAGACACGGCCCAGACUCCUACGGGAGGCAGCAGUAGGGAAUCUUCCGCAAUGGACGAAAGUCUGACGGAGCAACGCCGCGUGAGUGAUGAAGGUUUUCGGAUCGUAAAGCUCUGUUGUUAGGGAAGAACAAGUGCCGUUCAAAUAGGGCGGCACCUUGACGGUACCUAACCAGAAAGCCACGGCUAACUACGUGCCAGCAGCCGCGGUAAUACGUAGGUGGCAAGCGUUGUCCGGAAUUAUUGGGCGUAAAGGGCUCGCAGGCGGUUUCUUAAGUCUGAUGUGAAAGCCCCCGGCUCAACCGGGGAGGGUCAUUGGAAACUGGGGAACUUGAGUGCAGAAGAGGAGAGUGGAAUUCCACGUGUAGCGGUGAAAUGCGUAGAGAUGUGGAGGAACACCAGUGGCGAAGGCGACUCUCUGGUCUGUAACUGACGCUGAGGAGCGAAAGCGUGGGGAGCGAACAGGAUUAGAUACCCUGGUAGUCCACGCCGUAAACGAUGAGUGCUAAGUGUUAGGGGGUUUCCGCCCCUUAGUGCUGCAGCUAACGCAUUAAGCACUCCGCCUGGGGAGUACGGUCGCAAGACUGAAACUCAAAGGAAUUGACGGGGGCCCGCACAAGCGGUGGAGCAUGUGGUUUAAUUCGAAGCAACGCGAAGAACCUUACCAGGUCUUGACAUCCUCUGACAAUCCUAGAGAUAGGACGUCCCCUUCGGGGGCAGAGUGACAGGUGGUGCAUGGUUGUCGUCAGCUCGUGUCGUGAGGAUGUUGGGUUAAGUCCCGCAACGAGCGCAACCCUUGAUCUUAGUUGCCAGCAUUCAGUUGGGCACUCUAAGGUGACUGCCGGUGACAAACCGGAGGAAGGUGGGGAUGACGUCAAAUCAUCAUGCCCCUUAUGACCUGGGCUACACACGUGCUACAAUGGACAGAACAAGGGCAGCGAAACCGCGAAGGGUUAAGCCCAAUCCCACAAA
rnacentral:rRNA from 2 species